AAGGGAGAGUAACGCGUAGAUCACGUACCCAAGGGUUCGGAAUAGCGGGGGGGAAACCCGCCGGUAAUGCCGAAUAAUGUCUCCGGACCAAAGAUUUAUCACCCUUGGAGCGGUUUGCGUACUAUUAGUUUGUUGGUGGGGGUAAUGGCCUACCAAGGCUAAGAUGGUUAGCGGGUGUGAGAGCAUGGCCCGUCUCACUGGGACUGAGACACUGCCCAGACACCUACGGGUGGCUGCAGUCGAGAAUCUUCCGCAAUGGACGAAAGUCUGACGGAGCGACGCCGCGUGCGGGAUGAAGGCCUUCGGGUUGUAAACCGCUGUCAUAGGGGAGGAAAUUUUGACCGAUCCUAAGAGGAAGCACAGGCUAAGUUCGUGCCAGCAGCCGCGGUAAUACGAACUGUGCGAACGUUAUUCGGAAUCACUGGGCUUAAAGGGUGCGUAGGCGGCUACAAAGGUCAGAUGUGAAAUCCCACGGCUCAACCGUGGAACUGCGUCUGAAACCAUGUAGCUUGAGGAAGUCAGAGGUAAGCGGAACUGAUGGUGGAGCGGUGAAAUGCGUUGAUAUCAUCAGGAACACCGGUGGCGAAAGCGGCUUACUGGGACUUUUCUGACGCUGAGGCACGAAAGCUAGGGGAGCGAACGGGAUUAGAUACCCCGGUAGUCCUAGCUGUAAACGAUC
rnacentral:rRNA from 1 species